UCAAACACUGUCUAAUGAAGACUACUAUGACUGCGUAGACGAUAUUUCUUCAUGGGCUUUUGAGUUUGUUUCGGAAUCCGAGAGUGAAGAGGCAUCCGAGGUUAUUGAAGAAGACUCCAUAGUUUCAACAAAAUCGCCAGAG